ensembl:lncRNA
CGUUGGAGCACUCGUCCACGUCUGCGUCGGGAGUCGGCAUUUUAUGGGAUUGUUCCGCAUUUUAUGGGAUUCAUUUGGGAUUUUAUGGGAUUGUUCCGCAUUUUAUGGGAUUUAUUUGGGAUUUUACGGGAUUUUUUUUGGAUUUUAUGGGAUUUAUUUGGGAUUUUAUGGGAUUUGUUCCGCAUUUUAUGGGAUUUUUUUUGGAUUUUAUGGGAUUUUUUGGGAUUUUAUGGGAUUCAUUUGGGAUUUUAUGGGAUUUAUUUGGGAUUUUAUGGGAUUGUUCCGCAUUUUAUGGGAUUUUUUUUGGAUUUUACGGGAUUUUUUUUGGAUUUUAUGGGAUUUUUUGGGAUUUUAUGGGAUUCAUUCCGGAUUUUAUGGGAUUUAUUUGAAUUUUACGGGAUUCAUUGGGAUUUUUUUUGGAUUUUAUGGGAUUUUUUGGGAUUUUAUGGGAUUCAUUCCGGAUUUUAUGGGAUUUAUUUGAAUUUUACGGGAUUCAUUCCGCAUAUUUUAUGGGAUUUUUUUGAAUUUUAUGGGAUUCAUUCUGCAUUUUAUGGGAUUUUUUGGGAUUUUAUGGGAUUGUUCCGCAUUUUAUGGGAUUUAUUUGGGAUUUUACGGGAUUUAUUUAGGAUUUCAUGGGAUUAUUUGGGAUUUUUUUGGAUUGUUUGGGAUCAUCCCCAGGGGCUCGGUGUCCUCCGGCCCCCCGUGCGAAUCCCAAAUUCCCAAUCCCGAAUCCCAAAUCCCAAAUUCCCAAAAUUCCGAAUCCCAGAAUUCCCAGAAUCCCCAGAAUUCCCGGAAUUCCCGGAUCCCUCACCUCGGCACUCCCCUCCCUCGGGCCGGAAUCCCGGCUGGCACUCGGGAUCAAUCCCAAAUUCCCAAAAUUCCAAAUUCCAAAUCCCAGAAUUCCCGGAAUUCCCGGAUUUCCCAGAAUUCCCAGAAUUCCCGGAAUUCCCGGAAUUCCCGGAUCCCUCACCUCGGCACUCCCCUCCCUCGGGCCGGAAUCCCGGCUGGCACUCGGGAUCAAUCCCAAAUUCCCGGAAUUCCAAAUCCCAGAAUUCCCGGAAUUCCCGGAAUUCCAAAUCCCAGAAUUCCCGAAUCCCCCGGAUUUCCCGAAUUUCCCGGAAUUCCCGGAAUUCCCGGAUCCCUCACCUCGGCACUCGCCGCCCUCGGGCCGGAAUCCCGGCUGGCACUCGGGAUCAAUCCCAAAUUCCCAAAUCCCAAAUUCCCAAAUCCCAAAUUCCCAAAAUUCCAAAUUCCCGAAAUUCCAAAUCCCGAAUUUCCCGGAAUUCCCGGAAUUCCCGGAUCCCUCACCUCGGCACUCGCCGCCCUCGGGCCGGAAUCCCGGCUGGCACUCGGGGAGGCACCGAUAGGAUCCCGGAAUGUUCCGGCACCGCUGGGGCCCGCAGAGCCCGGGCCCGUAUUCCUGACACUCGUCCACGUCUGGGAACAGCCGGAACCACAGGAACAACCGGAACAACCGGAACCACAGGAACAACCGGAACAGCCGGAACAACCGCGGGAACAACAGGAACAACCGGAACAACCACGGGAACAACCGCGGGAACAACCGCGGGAACAGCCGGAACAACCGGAACAACAGGAACAACAGGAACAACCACGGGAACAACCGGAACAACCGGAACAGCCGGAACAACGGCGGGAACAGCAGGAACAACCAGAACAACCGGAACAACCGGAACAAUUGGAGGCAGGAACAACCGGAACAGCCGGAACCACCGUGGGAACAACCGGAACCACAGCGGGAACAACCGGAACAGCCGGAACCAUGGCGGGAACAGCCGGAACAAC